UUUUCUAAAUUUCCUGUUUCCAAAACUUUGAAUUUUUCGAAACACUAAGGAUUUUCUUAUCCCAGGCAUAGAUUACCUUAGCCGUAUUUGGCACAACUUUUUGGAAUUUUGGAUCCUCAAUGCUCUUCAACUUUUUACUUGUUUGGCUUUAUAAAUAUUUUGAUAUGAGCGUCACUGAUGAGUCUUAUGUAGACGAAACGCGCG
rnacentral:lncRNA from 1 species